rnacentral:lncRNA from 1 species
GAAUUAUUUCUUUGGAAAAAUAUUCCCUACAAAUGUCUUCAUGCAAAUAGAACUUCCUGCAAAGUGGCUUCCCAUGUUUAAGCCACGAGUGGUUUUCAAAUCAAAGACUUUAGGACAUUUGUGAUUUCUAUGAAGCACAUAGGUGAUUUUUCUUGGGCUUUAGUAGUGGUUUUGUUCGCAAUGGACAAUAAUUGCUAUGUUGCUGGAUCCGAUUCUCUAUCAUUUCUUUGUUGGCUUGGCCUUCUCAUUCAAAGUUCAGUUAUAGUCAACCUUUUUCAGGUGAACUGCGUUGUUCACAAGUGAAAUCCUGAGCGUAAAGGAGAAGCCUCACAUUUAUUGAUGCUCUUGAAGGUCUCUGGGGUGCAUGGCUACGCUCUGUGGCCUUUGACAAGCAUGAAGAAAAGCAAGGCCAAAGCAGUCCUCGCCACACAGCUGGUGGUUACAAAGAACUGCAUUGGGAAUGCUUGUCACCAGAGAGCGGCUCUGAAACCCAACCACGGGAAGAAAGAGGCCCUCAGGACCCUUUGACCUCACUGGAGUGUUCACUGGUUCGCCUGCCUCUUCCUGGCUGUGUGACCCGAUAGUUCCGGCCUGGAGCACUGCUGCCCUGUCGCUGUCUGUGGUAAACCAAACUGCCUUCCUCUGCCUCAGUGCUUUUCUUCUAGUCGUGCCUGUUUCUCAGCAAUGGAGGGAAGCUUCAUUUAUGAAAAUUGUUCACCAUGGAAGCAAAGCCUUCUACUGAGUUGUGCAGGGGAAGUCUAACAGAGGAGUACCGGCGUCCUGAUGAAGAUGUUAAUUAAAUAUUCAGCAUUGAAGGGGCAUCUAAUUGUCGAAGAAUUAAUGCAACAAAACUCCAUUCUGUUGCACUGGGACUCUUUAGCUUCAAACAAUAGGGUCUGGCCCUGGCUAGGUCAGGGGCAGGGAGUGUACUAAAGGGUCCUAGGAUUGCAUCAAUUGGGAAGGCUUGGUGUGGUGAGAUCUGUUCUCUAAAGAUGACUGUACCAAU